GAAAGGUAUGCUAAUACGGGAUAAUAUAUUUGAGAGGCAUCUCUUAAAUAUCAAAGGUGAGCCAGUACAGGAUGGACCCGCGUCUGAUUAGCUAGUUGGUAAGGUAACGGCUUACCAAGGCGACGAUCAGUAGCCGACCUGAGAGGGUGAUCGGCCACAUUGGAACUGAGACACGGUCCAAACUCCUACGGGAGGCAGCAGUGGGGAAUAUUGCACAAUGGGCGAAAGCCUGAUGCAGCAACGCCGCGUGAGUGAUGAAGGCCUUCGGGUCGUAAAACCCUGUCCUCAAGGAAGAUAAUGACGGUACUUGAGGAGGAAGCCCCGGCUAACUACGUGCCAGCAGCCGCGGUAAUACGUAGGGGGCUAGCGUUAUCCGGAUUUACUGGGCGUAAAGGGUGCGUAGGCGGUCUUUCAAGUCAGGAGUGAAAGGCUACGGCUCAACCGUAGUAAGCUCUUGAAACUGGGAGACUUGAGUGCAGGAGAGGAGAGUGGAAUUCCUAGUGUAGCGGUGAAAUGCGUAGAUAUUAGGAGGAACACCAGUUGCGAAGGCGGCUCUCUGGACUGUAACUGACGCUGAGGCACGAAAGCGUGGGGAGCAAACAGGAUUAGAUACCCUGGUAGUCC
rnacentral:rRNA from 1 species